UGUGAUGAAAAGAGCUUAUGAGCCUUUUUGUUAGAGGAUCCUGCUUUAUAAUCUAGUCCUCACAGCACAGGAUUAGAAAAGAUCUGGAUUCUCAUGCAAGGACCCCUUCCCAUCUACCAUAUCACACAAGACCUCCUAUCUCCCAUACUCCUAUAGGGACAUCGGCCCUGACCACCAUCACGAGAAUUCUGCCACAGGCCUGGCAGUCCGGGGCUACAAGCAAUUCACUCAGAUGCAUGGCCACUGGCCAAGCAGGUUUGGGAAAGCCAACUCCUAGAAGAAUUAGGACCUCAUUAAGGCAUGGGUGAAGGAAGAGGAAGUCACCCAGAGCAGGACUGACUGGCCCCAGUGCUUUGUGAUGGACAGCCAAGUUAGGAGGAAAACAGAGGGCUGCCUCGAGUCUCAAGGAUGAUCUGGCUCCAGCCCACCAGUGCUUGUGGAAGGAUAAGAAUAUAGGAUUUCUAACAGAUCAUUGACCCCAAAGCACUAAUUUUACAAAUGAAAAGAGUGAUACCUUGGUUUACCAUGUAAUCUAACCCAUUGUGACCUAUGGAGAAAGAAACAGAACCAAGAUUGAACCCAGGAACUCUUCCUCCAAAUCCAAGACAUCCCCAUCAAGUCACAUCACUCUCACAAUCCAGAUUGCACUGAGCAUAACUUGGGCAAAGGUGAGAUGAGAAAAGUGAGGAUCCAGGAGGCUAAGUGACUUGCCUGAAAUAAUAUCAAGAGAAUGAGUCAAAGUUGGGGCAGGAACUCAGGCCUUCUGAAGCAUCUUGCAGUAAUCACAAGUCCAUUCAAAGUCUACAUGUCGUCUUCCCACCAUUUUGUCAAGUCCUUAGUCUUCAUGCUUCUAAGGAUUCAAAUAGGACCCAUUGAAACCUCCAAGAAUUAUGAUGAAAUUUGUCCACUACCUUUAAAGCACAUGGAGCACCAAGGUCCAGCUUCAAGACUGCCUUAUCUUUGUGCGACCAGAGAAUUCAGAUCUGAAAGUGAUGAGAUCUUAACUGCUGCCUAAUAUCCUGACUCCCUCUCCUGAGUUUCAUUAGGACAAAGGGACUUUUUAACCUUUUCUGUGCAUAUCUCCACUUUUUCUCUCAGGAGCCACUUUAGAACAAAAAGACUUUUUCCAUGUGUAUCCUAUUUGAAAUAAACCUAAUCAGGGGAAUUUUCCACUUCUCAUCUCAUCUGAAGUUGUCCAAUUUCUUUGCUUUGCCCAAUUCUGGGUUCAUUCAUACUCUUCCUUCUCCAUAUAAUCUUUCCCCUUACUCUGCUGGGCUGCCUCUCCCUUAUGGAGGAGACCGACAAGUUCAUCACCCCAGUAAAUGUUCUUUGCUUGAUUUGGACAUAGUUUGAAGCCUGAAUUCUUUCAGAGA